UUUGGGGGGCCUUCGGGAGGCAGCAGUGGGGAAUUUUGGACAAUGGGCGCAAGCCUGAUCCAGCAAUGCCGCGUGAGUGAAGAAGGCCUUCGGGUUGUAAAGCUCUUUUGUCAGGGAAGAAACGGCUGCGGCUAAUAUCCGCGGCUAAUGACGGUACCUGAAGAAUAAGCACCGGCUAACUACGUGCCAGCAGCCGCGGUAAUACGUAGGGUGCAAGCGUUAAUCGGAAUUACUGGGCGUAAAGCGUGCGCAGGCGGUUUUGUAAGUCUGACGUGAAAGCCCCGGGCUCAACCUGGGAAUUGCGUUGGAGACUGCAAGGCUUGAAUCUGGCAGAGGGGGGUAGAAUUCCACGUGUAGCAGUGAAAUGCGUAGAGAUGUGGAGGAACACCGAUGGCGAAGGCAGCCCCCUGGGUCAAGAUUGACGCUCAUGCACGAAAGCGUGGGGAGCAAACAGGAUUAGAUACCCUGGUAGUCCACGCCCUAAACGAUGUCUACUAGUUGUCGGGUCUUAAUUGACUUGGUAACGCAGCUAACGCGUGAAGUAGACCGCCUGGGAUUCUU
rnacentral:rRNA from 1 species